rnacentral:rRNA from 1 species
UACAGAGGGGGCAAGCGUUAUUCGGAAUCACUGGGCGUAAAGGGCGCGUAGGUGGCGCCCCAAGUCAGUGGUGAAAGCUCGAUGCUCAACAUCGAGUCGGCCACUGAGACUGGGGGGCUCGAGCACUGUAGAGGCAGAUGGAAUUCCGGGUGUAGCGGUGGAAUGCGUAGAGAUCCGGAAGAACACCGGUGGCGAAGGCGGUCUGCUGGGCAGUAGCUGACACUGAGGCGCGACAGCGUGGGGAGCAAACAGG